GACGAACGCUGGCGGCGUGCUUAACACAUGCAAGUCGAACGGUGAAGGGACCGGUUUUUGCUGGUUCUGGAUGAGUGGCGAACGGGUGAGUAACACGUGAGUAACCUGCCCCCUUCUUCUGGAUAACCGCAUGAAAGUGUGGCUAAUACGGGAUAUUCUGCGCCUGCUGCAUGGUGGGUGUGGGAAAGAUAUUGUUUCGGUGGGGGAUGGGCUCGCGGCCUAUCAGCUUGUUGGUGGGGUGAUGGCCUACCAAGGCGGUGACGGGUAGCCGGCCUGAGAGGGUGGACGGUCACACUGGGACUGAGACACGGCCCAGACUCCUACGGGAGGCAGCAGUGGGGAAUAUUGCACAAUGGGCGCAAGCCUGAUGCAGCGACGCCGCGUGAGGGAUGGAGGCCUUCGGGUUGUAAACCUCUUUCGCCAGUGAGGCAGGCCUGUCCCUUUUGUGGGUGGGUUGACGGUAGCUGGAUAAGAAGCGCCGGCUAACUACGUG
rnacentral:rRNA from 1 species